GUGUCUAUUGUGACGACUCAUAAUAACUGAUCGGAUCGCAUGGGCUUUGCCCGCGACGCAUCAUUCAAGUUUCUGCCCCAUCAGCUUUCGAUGGUAGUGUAUUGGACUACCAUGGCUUUAACGGGUAACGGAGGAUUAGGGUUCGAUUCCGGAGAGGGAGCCUGAGAAACGGCUACCACAUCUAAGGAAGGCAGCAGGCGCGUAAAUUACCCAAUCGCGACUCGCGGAGGUAGUGACAAGAAAUAACGGACCGAAGCCUAUGUUUCGGGAUUGCAAUGAGUAGAAUUUAAACCCCUUUACGAGGAUCAAUUGGAGGGCAAGUCUGGUGCCAGCAGCCGCGGUAAUUCCAGCUCCAAUAGCGUAUAUUAAAGUUGUUGCAGUUAAAAAGCUCGUAGUUGGACUUCUGGGAGGGUGCCAAUGUCCGCUCGUUAGCGUGUGCAGCGGCGCCCUUCCAUCCUUCUGUUAACGUUUCUUGGUAUUCAGUUACUGGUUUCGGGCUCAGAUAUUUUACCUUGAGAAAAUUAGAGUGUUUCAGGCAGGCUUGCGCCGGAAUACAUUAGCAUGGAAUAAUAGAAUAGGACUUUAGUCUCCCUUUGUUGGUUUGAGGGACUGAAGUAAUGAUUAAUAGGGAUAGUUGGGGGCAUUAGUAUUUAAUUGUCAGAGGUGAAAUUCUCGGAUUUGUUAAAGACUAACUUAUGCGAAAGCAUUUGCCAAGGAUGUUUUCAUUAAUCAAGAACGAAAGUUAAGGGGAUCAAAGACGAUCAGAUACC
rnacentral:rRNA from 1 species